rnacentral:antisense_RNA from 1 species
CGGCGCUUGAGGCUUUUUGCCUCAUGGCUGUGCUUUGGGAAGUUAUGCAGAAAUGUUGUGAGGCAGAAAGAUGAAAGCCCCGAGUCAAUUUUUCAAUUAACCCGAGGCUACACUACGUCCAGACAACGUCAGCGUAGCCUCUUACCUGCUGAAAGGCAAGGAGUUAAAGGCUAUGAAA